CCUACGGGUGGCAGCAGUGAGGAAUAUUGGUCAAUGGGCGCGAGCCUGAACCAGCCAAGUCGCGUGAGGGAAGACGGUCCUAUGGAUUGUAAACCUCUUUUGUCGGGGAGCAAAAGACGCCACGCGUGGCGUUCCGAGAGUACCCGAAGAAAAAGCAUCGGCUAACUCCGUGCCAGCAGCCGCGGUAAUACGGAGGAUGCGAGCGUUAUCCGGAUUUAUGGGGUUUAAGGGGGGCGCAGGCGGAAGAUCAAGUCAGCGGUAAAAUUGAGAGGCUCAACCUCUUCGAGCCGUUGAAACUGGUUUUCUUGAGUGAGUGAGAAGUAUGCGGAAUGCGUGGUGUAGCGGUGAAAUGCAUAGAUAUCACGCAGAACUCCGAUUGUGAAGGCAGCAUACCGGCGCUCAACUGACGCUCAUGCACGAAAGUGUGGGUAUCGAACAGGAUUAGAUACCCCUGUAGUC
rnacentral:rRNA from 1 species